rnacentral:rRNA from 1 species
AACGAACGCUGGCGGCGUGGAUAAGACAUGCAAGUCGAGCGCUGAUUUGAAGGUAGCAAUACUUUCAAGUCGGAGCGGCGCAAGGGUGCGUAACACGUGGGAAUCUGCCUUGAAGUGUGGGAUAACUCCGAGAAAUCGGAGCUAAUACCGCAUGUGAUCGAAAGAUUAAAGUUGGGGAUCGUAAGACCUGACGCUUCAAGAUGAGCCCGCGGCCUAUCAGCUAGUUGGUGAGGUAAUGGCUCACCAAGGCUAAGACGGGUAGCUGGUCUGAGAGGACGACCAGUCACACUGGAACUGAGACACGGUCCAGACACCUACGGGUGGCAGCAGUCGAGAAUUUUUCUCAAUGGGCGAAAGCCUGAAGGAGCGACGCCGCGUGGGGGAUGAAUGGCUUCGGCCCGUAACCCCCUGUCAUUUGCGAACAAAUUGACUCACCUAACACGUGUGUUAUUGAUUGUAGCGGAAGAGGAAGGGACGGCUAACGUCUGUGCCAGCAG